CCUACGGGUGACAGCAGUGGGGAAUAUUGCGCAAUGGGCGAAAGCCUGACGCAGCGACGCCGCGUGAGGGAUGAAGGUCUUCGGAUCGUAAACCUCUGUCAGCAGGGAAGCACGGUCACUGUGCUAAUCAGCAGUGAAUUGACGGUACCUGCAAAGGAAGCACCGGCUAACUCCGUGCCAGCAGCCGCGGUAAUACGGAGGGUGCGAGCGGUAAUCGGAAUUACUGGGCGUAAAGCGCUCGUAGGCGGUAUGUCAAGUCAAGGGUGAAAUCCCCGCGCUCAACGUGGGAACUGCCGUUGAAACUGGCAAACUUGAGUGUGUGAGAGGAAAGUGGAAUGCCAGGUGUAGGAGUGAAAUCCGUAGAUAUCUGGAGGAACAUCAGUGGCGAAGGCGACUAUCUGGCACAUAACUGACGCUGAGGAGCGAAAGCGUGGGUAUCGAACAGGAUUAGAUACCCCAGUAGUC
rnacentral:rRNA from 1 species